ensembl:lncRNA
UUAUUACCAGCGCCAGGGAGGAAGUUUCUACCAGCGGGGAUUAUGCGCAGUUUCCUUGCCCAGAAGCUUUUGGGCUUUGUCCCCUCCCACUCUUGAAAAGCAGCGAUUCCACAAACUAGAGGUGGUGGGAAGGGAGGGGGGUGGGGGGUUAGUAAAAAAAAAAAAAAAAAAAAAAGCGGGGCAAACUUAAACCUGCUCCUUUUGCUAUGCCUUUUUCUCCCUCCUCGCUUUUUACGGAGCUAGAAGAAGGAGCACGUUUCGGCCGCGUUUUUGUACACCGGGCGGCACAGAAGUGCAUUGUGUUGGGACCGGAGCAGGGAGGGAGGAGGAGGAGGGUGCUGGAGGAGCACAGCUGCACGGCGCACAAGAGCCGGCAUCUCAGCCUGACAGGCAGGCGAGCAGCAAGAGGGAGAGAGCGAAACGAGGGCUCUUCCGCCGCACUCUUUGAGGGGGUUCCUCUCCGUCCAGCGUUCGCCCCCACCAACCCGACAAACUCACCAUUCCCCCACGUUACAGCAGCUCCGUCCGGGAUUUUUAUUUAUUUAUUUAAUUGUUUUCAAAUCAAAGCACUGAAAUGUGGAAUGGACGCGGACAAGAGAAAGGAUUCUGUUCUCCUCUUCUGUGGCUGGCUACUCAAAUUCAGUACAUGGGUGGAGCAGCAUCUGUUAAUGCAGUCCAGGAUUGCUGACAUCAAGCCAGGAGUAGAAAGUCAAGGAGCUGGCUUGUGCAGUCUGCAGGUAAAACCUUUUGUUCUGUCUUUCACUGUAAAUCUCUGUAAACUAUCAGGCUGACCAUUUACUUUCUAUUCUCUGCAACCUGUCAACAGUUUGGGCUCUCCCACAUGUAGAGAGCUUUUCUGUAUUUUUUUACCACACUGUAGAAAAACACUGAACAAAUAAAAUCUGUGAAAUGAGGUGUGUCCAAGUGUCUCGUGAUAAAUCCAAAUCACAUUCUGUUAUACAUUCUUUUUGAAAGUAGCCCAUUUUUGACUUGAUGCAACUUAAUGCACUCUUGCUGUUCUCUCAAGCAGCUUCAGGAGGAGCCAUUUCAAAUACUUUUACAACAGUACUGAAGAAGACCUUGAGGCCUUGAUGUUGCUGGAAACAACUCGUGGACAUUUAAAAACCAAAAUCAUAUGUAGGCAUUAAGUUUACUGUUUCUGUCAGUAGAAGACACUUCACUUGCCUGGUCAAUCAAAGUUGGAAAUCGCCCUUCAUUUAUUUAAUUUGCAGUGAGAGCACUCAGUACAUACAAGUUACUCAUUUUUCAGCACCAAGAAAACAGCAGAAAGCAGAUCAUUGCUGUUCAAAGCCAAACAAGUAUCUCCAAAACAGUAACUUUACAGAAAAGGUUUUAGAGCGUUUUUAUAGGUGCAUUCAUCAUGAAUUUUUUACACAACAUAAAGGAGAGCUGGUGUUUUGAAAUCAUGUAGAAAACAGAAAAUCAACAAAAAUGGAGAGACAUGGUUUUCUUUGGACAGCCAUGAUAUAUUUAACAGAAAAUCUCACAGGAACCUCAAUGACUAAGUAGAAUAUCAGGUUUUGUCAGUAUUUACUGUGUCCACUCUUAGAUAGAUAGAUAGAUAGAUAGAUAGAUAGAUAGAUAGAUAGAUAGAUAGAUAGAUAGAUUGACACACAUCCAGUGAUGUUGAGGUCUGGACUCUGGGGUGGUUAAUUGUUUUGAGACCACCAGCAACUUCUUUACUUGCAAAUUUUUUUUUUUUUUAUUUCUUUUGUCUUCUCACAGUGGAACAAUGGACAUAAGCACUUGUGGAUGUCUUUAGCUCUGAAGCAGCUGGAUUUUCUGGUGAUUUUUUGGUGGAUUUUUUUUUUUUUUUUAAGUGCUUUUUCUGAUACAGUUUUGGUGGCUGUCAGGUCCUUUAGGUGGUUGUUAGGAGUCCCAGUUUUUUCUCUGUGCCUUUUUAAUCAUUUUUUAAACUCUAUUUUUGGAAACCGUUUUUUUUUUUUUUUUUUUACCUUUUUUUAACUUUCACUGUCCUUAUGCAAGCUGAUUAUCUUACAUCUAAUCUCUUGCUGAAAAGUGAACAACUUGUAGCUGUUUUAACUGCCAAAGAAAGAAAUAAACAGUGGACUCCACGGUACUGAAGGUGUUAUCCAAAUCUCUGGUACUGCAUUGGUGCCAAACGGUGCAAUCUCCUAAAGUUGACUGCUUAAACUGUAUAACUUUACCCAGAGGUCAUUCGGCCAGGCUUAAAGAAUUUUCCACAGUUGCGCUGCAGCCGUGCAUAAGUCAUGUAGCUCUGCUCUUCUCUCCUUCAGUGCUUUACCUGCAGCGCUGUGUGUGUAUGUGUGUGUGCUGCACAGCAGGAGCUGUUGAAGUGUGUGUGUGGACUGCAGCAGACACCAGUUGGUAAGUGCUGCAUAUACAGAGGGCAACACAGUCAGGCACAUGUACGUACAUCCAUGUAUUCAUGCCAAGAAAAAGACAGAGGGCACAGAGUUGAAAACCUCAGCUCGCUCUCUUUCAGACAACGAUUAGACAUGCCAGUAUGCACGUACACACUUUCACCUACACAAGCUUACAAAUCCCCAGCUAACUUAAAGGAAAUUAAAGAGGGUUUUUGCAAACUUUUGGCUAAUGAAAUAGUUUAGAUGAAGUUAUUCAGGUUUGAUGUGAAAUGCUCUGAAUAGUUUACCGUGAUGGGGAUAUUUACCAGACAGCUGAAGAGUAUAAUGCCUCUAAACCAGGGCUGCAUGAAGUUUGACAUUUAAUUUGGCCUACCUGAAAGUUUCCCCAACCCCACCCGGUCACCUAAUGAGAGAACAAAUGUUUCAAUACUGUAUUUUGCGCCUGUAUCUCCAAAAUAACUUUACAGAAAAAAGGAAGAAACCUACUUUACUUUCAGUGUAAGUCAGUGGAUCCAGACUUUUUUCCAACUCAUUUUGGGUCAUGUCCAUUCAUCAUGAAAUGUACAGAACAACAGGCUUUUUCAAAUUCUGUCAAAAACGGCAAAACAAUGAAAAUGGACAAGUAUUUGUAUUUUAAGCUAUUUUAGUAACAAAAUGUAGUUUUAAUGUUAUAAAAUACAUUUCUAAAAGCUUGACCAAAACCUGCCUACCUUCUUUAUUUGUAUACUGUAUACUGUGUUUUUAGGCCUUGGCCCACCUUAAACAUUGCACUUUUGCCCCCCUAAGAGAGGACGUUUUUGGCAUCCUGCUUCAAAAGCUACCUCAUAGAUUAUUACAUUAAAUAGAGAGGACAUUGUUUGGCCAUAGAUUUGAGAAGGCUUUGGGCUUUGGCCUUAAUUUAUGUAUAUGCAGGGCAAUCAUUUCUCAGACAUUGUGACCCCUGGUUACUAUCACCACCACUGUAGUGGUGUUUCUCUGCAUUGAAUCAUUUUGCAUCAAACUACUCUUUGACUUUGUUUAUAGUGAUUGAAUUACGGAGAAAUUUUGGAAGACGUCUUAAAAACGUCCCCGUUUCUCUGCAUGUAUUUGCCCUUUUGCAGCAGAACUUGUUUUAAAACUGCAAAAUGAUCAAUAAAUCGAAAUAUUUUGAACAUAAAUCUUUUGUCUGUCGUCUUU